rnacentral:rRNA from 1 species
UAGAGUUUGAUCGUGGCUCAGAACGAACGCUGGCGGCGUGCCUAACACAUGCAAGUCGAACGGUAACAGGGCUAGCUUGCUAGCCGCUGACGAGUGGCGCACGGGUGAGUAACGCGUGGUUACCUGCCCAUCAGUGGGGGACAACUCCGGGAAACCGGAGCUAAUACCGCAUACGACCUUCGGGUGAAAGCGGGGGAUUCUUUUAGAACCUCGCGCUGAUGGAUGGAACCGCGUCCGAUUAGCUAGUUGGUGGGGUAACGGCCUACCAAGGCGAUGAUCGGUAGCUGGUCUGAGAGGAUGAUCAGCCACACUGGAACUGAGACACGGUCCAGACUCCUACGGGAGGCAGCAGUGGGGAAUAUUGCACAAUGGACGAAAGUCUGAUGCAGCAACGCCGCGCGGAGGAUGACACAUUUCGGUGCGUAAACUCCUUUUAUAUGGGAAGAUAAUGACGGUACCAUAUGAAUAAGCACCGGCUAACUCCGUGCCAGCAGCCGCGGUAAUACGGAGGGUGCAAGCGUUACUCGGAAUCACUGGGCGUAAAGCGCGCGCAGGCGGCUAUUUAAGUUGGAUGUGAAAGCCUACGGCUCAACCGUAGAACUGCAUCCAAAACUAUUUAGCUAGAGUGUGGGAGAGGAAGAUGGAAUUAGUUGUGUAGGGGUAAAAUCCGUAGAGAUAACUAGGAAUACCAAAAGCGAAGGCAAUCUUCUGGAACACUACUGACGCUGAGGCGCGAAAGCGUGGGGAGCAAACAGGAUUAGAUACCCUGGUAGUCCACGCAGUAAACGAUGAAUGUUAGUCGUCGGGGGCCUCGUGUCUUCGGUGAUGCAGCUAACGCAUUAAACAUUCCGCCUGGGGAGUACGGUCGCAAGAUUAAAACUCAAAGGAAUAGACGGGGACCCGCACAAGUGGUGGAGCAUGUGGUUUAAUUCGAAGAUACGCGAAGAACCUUACCUAGCCUUGACAUAUUUAAGAACUCCGUAGAGAUACAGAGGUGCCUUCGGGAGCUUUCUUACAGGUGCUGCACGGCUGUCGUCAGCUCGUGUCGUGAGAUGUUGGGUUAAGCCCCGCAACGAGCGCAACCCUCGUCACUAGUUACUAACGGUUCGGCCGAGGACUCUAGUGAGACUGCCUUCGUAAGGAGGAGGAAGGUGAGGACGACGUCAAGUCAUCAUGGCCCUUACGGCUAGGGCAACACACGUGCUACAAUGGCCAGGACAAUGAGACGCAAUACCGCGAGGUGGAGCAAAUCUAUAAACCUGGUCUCAGUUCGGAUUGUAGUCUGCAACUCGACUACAUGAAGCUGGAAUCACUAGUAAUCGUAGAUCAGCUAUGCUACGGUGAAUACGUUCCCGGGUCUUGUACUCACCGCCCGUCACACCAUGGGAGUUGAUUUCACCCGAAGCGGGGAAGCUAAACUGGCUACCCUCCACGGUGGAAUUAGCGACUGGGGUGAAGUCGUAACAAGGUAACC